rnacentral:rRNA from 1 species
UUAGAGGAAGUAAAAGUCGUAACAAGGUUUCCGUAGGUGAACCUGCGGAAGGAUCAUUACCUAGAGUUGCGGGCUUUGCCUGCCAUCUCUUACCCAUGUCUUUUGAGUACCUUACGUUUCCUCGGCGGGUCCGCCCGCCGAUUGGACAAUUUAAACCAUUUGCAGUUGCAAUCAGCGUCUGAAAAAAACUUAAUAGUUACAACUUUCAACAACGGAUCUCUUGGUUCUGGCAUCGAUGAAGAACGCAGCGAAAUGCGAUAAGUAGUGUGAAUUGCAGAAUUCAGUGAAUCAUCGAAUCUUUGAACGCACAUUGCGCCCCUUGGUAUUCCAUGGGGCAUGCCUGUUCGAGCGUCAUUUGUACCUUCAAGCUCUGCUUGGUGUUGGGUGUUUGUCUCGCCUCCGCGCGCAGACUCGCCUCAAAACAAUUGGCAGCCGGCGUAUUGAUUUCGGAGCGCAGUACAUCUCGCGCUUUGCACUCACAACGACGACGUCCAAAAGUACAUUUUUUACACUCUUGACCUCGGAUCAGGUAGGGAUACCCGCUGAACUUAAGCAUA